rnacentral:rRNA from 1 species
AGCGGCGGAUGGGUGAGUAACACGUGGGGAACCUGCCCCUAAGUCUGGGAUGCCAUUUGGAAACAGGUGCUAAUACCGGAUAAUAAAGCAGAUCGCAUGAUCAGCUUUUGAAAGGCGGCGUAAGCUGUCGCUAAGGGAUGGCCCCGCGGUGCAUUAGCUAGUUGGUAAGGUAACGGCUUACCAAGGCGACGAUGCAUAGCCGAGUUGAGAGACUGAUCGGCCACAUUGGGACUGAGACACGGCCCAAACUCCUACGGGAGGCAGCAGUAGGGAAUCUUCCACAAUGGACGCAAGUCUGAUGGAGCAACGCCGCGUGAGUGAAGAAGGUUUUCGGAUCGUAAAGCUCUGUUGUUGGUGAAGAAGGAUAGAGGUAGUAACUGGCCUUUAUUUGACGGUAAUCAACCAGAAAGUCACGGCUAACUACGUGCCAGCAGCCGCGGUAAUACGUAGGUGGCAAGCGUUGUCCGGAUUUAUUGGGCGUAAAGCGAGCGCAGGCGGAAAAAUAAGUCUAAUGUGAAAGCCCUCGGCUUAACCGAGGAACUGCAUCGGAAACUGUUUUUCUUGAGUGCAGAAGAGGAGAGUGGAACUCCAUGUGUAGCGGUGGAAUGCGUAGAUAUAUGGAAGAACACCAGUGGCGAAGGCGGCUCUCUGGUCUGCAACUGACGCUGAGGCUCGAAAGCAUGGGUAGCGAACAGGAUUAGAUACCCUGGUAGUCCAUGCCGUAAACGAUGAGUGCUAAGUGU